UACGUAGGGUGCAAGCGUUAAUCGGAAUUACUGGGCGUAAAGCGUGCGCAGGCGGUUAUGUAAGACAGAUGUGAAAUGCCCGGGCUUAACCUGGGAACUGCAUUUGUGACUGCAUGGCUAGAGUUUGGCAGAGGGGGGGUAGAAUUCCACGUGUAGCAGUGAAAUGCGUAGAUAUGUGGAGGAACACCGAUGGCGAAGGCAGCCCCCCUGGGUCAAGACUGACGCUCAUGCACGAAAGCGUGGGGAGCAAA
rnacentral:rRNA from 1 species